UUUUUUUUGUUAUAGCUUAUUUUAUUGGAUAUAAUGUUGCUGAAAGUUGUGGACAAAAUGAUACUCGUCAAUUAUGUCCUAGUCACAGUUUAUUCCUGAAUUUGUUUUACUUACUGGGGCUGUAGUUAUAUUAGUUUUCCAUGAAGAGAAAUCAUUGUUGUAGGUACAGAUCAAAGUUAAAAUGACGGGAAAAUGUAAAACAAAAUCAAGCUUAUGUACAGUCUUCUGAUAUAUACUUCUCAUUACUUGAAGCUUGCUUGUAUGAUCGAACUACAAUAGUGUGAUACGGGGUCCAUCAUAUCCUCCUGGCUCCAGCUAUCAUAGGGGACAAGGUAUUUGGUGUGAUACCCUUGGGCUUACAUUUCGACCAAGUAGUUUCGGUUGACAUAUCAUUGUCGAUUGGUGAAGGUAAAUGCCUUAGCUUAUCUUUUCCCUACUUCUCCGCAGGCACUUACAUUUUCGUUUUUGGAUUUAGAUAAUGUUAAUAAUGGAACUGUUGUAGGUCUCUAGCUUCCUAGCUGGAGGUGGUCCAAUUGAAAUUCAACAUGCUUAUAUGAAACCAUUUUUAUUGGCUUAUGUUAACUAAAUGCAAUAAAUUCAGUAUUUUCAUUAAGAUUGCUUGCAAAUUGGCAGAAAUCGAUUGCAUGCUAUUUCUUCUGCAUCUUCAAUAUUUAUUUUGUAAGUAUGUGUGGUAAACUACAUAAUUGCACAUUGGACUAAAUAAAUCACAAAAUAACCAAGAAGCGCUGCUGCUAUGAUUUCACCAAUAUGUGUGUAACGAACAGUUGAAGGGUUGAAGUUUGUUAUGAUUAUAAAGUAUGCAAUACUAAAGCUUAAUGUUAUAUCACUGUGACUUAUGAUUCCACAUUGUAGGGUUUUUAAGUUUCCACCCUAUUACUUUCUGUCAUUCAUCCAUUAUCAUACUUCUGCUUGGUUCGUGUUACUUCUCAUUUUUGCUUGAUUAGAAUAAACAAAUGCUAGGAUUUCUUGGUUUCUAAGAUUGAAGCUGUUUCUGUGGUUAGACACCAUGUGUUUCUCAAAUGUUCAGCUCUAUGCACAGAUACAAGACAGAUGCCCUAGUUGCAUAGCACAAAGGCCUAUACUAGAUUAAGUGCCUACUAACCCUUCCUGUCUUCUCUAGUUCCAUGGGUGUGUGGUGGGCUACUACGCUUUGCCGCCUAAUCGUGGCAGAGUGCAUGACACCAAACUUAUUUUGGAUAAGAAUGCUUCCACCACAAUUUAGUCGAGAAGUGAGGGGAAAAGAGUAUGACAGGCAGAUUUUAUGGCUAGGAAAGUACGGCACACCACAACUUUGAUGGUGAACCAAGGGCAUACCAUGGAAAGUAAAAUUUGGCAGUGAAUCAAACAGGCUCUAUUGGCAUGAUAAAUCAGCACCAAAGUGGUACUGUAACAGUGUCGUUAACAGUCACUGAUGACAGCGCUAAUUCAGGCGAUGAAGUUGUGGAUCAGAGCCGGGGACCCAGAUUUAUCAGCCUUUGAGCACCGUUCCGAUCAAUGCCCUAGCUAAGGGAAUUACAAAAUCCGCCUUAUGGAAGUGGUUAGAAACCAUCCUUCAUGUCCCCAUCUUGAUCGUCCAAUCCAUGCUUUCCAUUUAUCUCACGCGAUCUCUUUUGGAUCAAAAGCUGGAUGUGACUAUUCUAUUCUUAAGCCAUGGUGAUAUCAGAUUUAUUGUGGUACAGUGGCGAUUGUACGAUUCGUGCAGAAUCAGGAGGAACAUAGUGGACUGGACAGAGAUAGACAGCUACAAGCAGUGCCAUGCUGACUCGGACGUGCACUGCGUUGUCCGCCUAUCUGCAAAGCUGCAGCUCCAGGCGAUUCAGUAGCUGGGAAAUUCACAUGAAACAGGAUACAAUUUUCCGCAUACAGCAAUUCAGCUGUUUUGCCUUUUUUUUUGACGGAACUGUUUUGCUUUUUUUGACCUUAUUUAUCUUUCUUUUUUGAGGAAUUGGCAGCUCUAUGCCUAUAUAUUAAGAGGGAUGUAAAGGUAAAUAAGGUCUGUCACAAGAUGAUCUGUAAGCAAUCAGAAAUUGCCACAGGUUUUUUCGAAAGUGAGAUGCCGGUGUGGUGCA